GCCAUGGUGACUUGCAAGCAACUCACUGCACUUAGGCACUGGACUACCUGAAUUUUUAAUUCAAUGACGGAAGGCUGCUGGGUGUAGUCAAGUACUUGACUUGUCGGUGCGUGUGUCAAGAUGGGAUUGACCACUCCAGUUUAGGAGCUGUGUACAGUCGUGUUUUAAUUUAGCAAAAUUUUGGCCAGGGUAGUCCUUGUGAGGAGUCACAGGACUGUUUGAGUUGAGCAUGAUUCGGAUGAUCUGAUCAGGGUUGACAGUUUAACCCUGAGUCA
rnacentral:lncRNA from 1 species